rnacentral:rRNA from 1 species
GAUGAACGCUGGCGGCGUGCCUAAUACAUGCAAGUCGAGCGAACAGACGAGGAGCUUGCUCCUCUGACGUUAGCGGCGGACGGGUGAGUAACACGUGGAUAACCUACCUAUAAGACUGGGAUAACUUCGGGAAACCGGAGCUAAUACCGGAUAAUAUAUUGAACCGCAUGGUUCAAUAGUGAAAGACGGUUUUGCUGUCACUUAUAGAUGGAUCAGCGCCGCAUUAGCUAGUUGGUAAGGUAACGGCUUACCAAGGCAACGAUGCGUAGCCGACCUGAGCGGGUGAUCGGCCACACUGGAACUGAGACACGGUCCAGACUCCUACGGGAGGCAGCAGUAGAGAAUCUUCCGCAAUGGGCGAAAGCCUGACGGAGCAACGCCGCGUGAGUGAUGAAGGUCUUCGGAUCGUAAAACUCUGUUAUUAGGGAAGAACAAAUGUGUAAGUAACUAUGCACGUCUUGACGGUACCUAAUCAGAAAGCCACGGCUAACUACGUG